UACGGAGGGUGCGAACGUUAAUCGGAAUCACUGGGCGUAAAGCGCGCGUAGGCGGUCUGUUAAGUGGGAUGUGAAAUCCCCGGGCUUAACCUGGGAAUUGCAUUUCAAACUGGCCGACUAGAGUACGGUAGAGGGAGGUAGAAUUUCCUGUGUAGCGGUGAAAUGCGUAGAUAUGUGGAGGAACACCGAUGGCGAAGGCAGCCCCCUGGGUCAAGACUGACGCUCAUGCACGAAAGCGUGGGGAGCAAACAGG
rnacentral:rRNA from 1 species